rnacentral:lncRNA from 1 species
GUGCACAAAAAAUUUCUCUAACAUACAAAUAAUAAGGACAUGAAAAGUGCCAGGAAAAGAAGUGUAAUAAAUUGGGCCGAAUCUGAUUUGGCCCACGUUUACCGGGCUCAGACCACCUUUGGCAUGAGUUCUUUUCACGUACCAGUUGGAGAGAAAGACUCUCGAUGGAAGUCUUUUUCUCUAUCAAUCCCAAUGGAAAUAUGGAGAUUUAAGACAGCCGGAAAC